rnacentral:rRNA from 1 species
UUAAGCGACUAAGCGUACACGGUGGAUGCCCUGGCAGUCAGAGGCGAUGAAGGACGUGCUAAUCUGCGAUAAGCGUCGGUAAGGUGAUAUGAACCGUUAUAACCGGCGAUUUCCGAAUGGGGAAACCCAGUGUGUUUCGACACACUAUCAUUAACUGAAUCCAUAGGUUAAUGAGGCGAACCGGGGGAACUGAAACAUCUAAGUACCCCGAGGAAAAGAAAUCAACCGAGAUUCCCCCAGUAGCGGCGAGCGAACGGGGAGGAGCCCAGAGCCUGAAUCAGUGUGUGUGUUAGUGGAAGCGUCUGGAAAGGCGCGCGAUACAGGGUGACAGCCCCGUACACAAAAAUGCACAUAUUGUGAGCUCGAUGAGUAGGGCGGGACACGUGGUAUCCUGUCUGAAUAUGGGGGGACCAUCCUCCAAGGCUAAAUACUCCUGACUGACCGAUAGUGAACCAGUACCGUGAGGGAAAGGCGAAAAGAACCCCGGCGAGGGGAGUGAAAAAGAACCUGAAACCGUGUACGUACAAGCAGUGGGAGCCUCUUUUAUGGGGUGACUGCGUACCUUUUGUAUAAUGGGUCAGCGACUUAUAUUCUGUAGCAAGGUUAACCGAAUAGGGGAGCCGAAGGGAAACCGAGUCUUAACUGGGCGUUAAGUUGCAGGGUAUAGACCCGAAACCCGGUGAUCUAGCCAUGGGCAGGUUGAAGGUUGGGUAACACUAACUGGAGGACCGAACCGACUAAUGUUGAAAAAUUAGCGGAUGACUUGUGGCUGGGGGUGAAAGGCCAAUCAAACCGGGAGAUAGCUGGUUCUCCCCGAAAGCUAUUUAGGUAGCGCCUCGUGAAUUCAUCUCCGGGGGUAGAGCACUGUUUCGGCAAGGGGGUCAUCCCGACUUACCAACCCGAUGCAAACUGCGAAUACCGGAGAAUGUUAUCACGGGAGACACACGGCGGGUGCUAACGUCCGUCGUGAAGAGGGAAACAACCCAGACCGCCAGCUAAGGUCCCAAAGUCAUGGUUAAGUGGGAAACGAUGUGGGAAGGCCCAGACAGCCAGGAUGUUGGCUUAGAAGCAGCCAUCAUUUAAAGAAAGCGUAAUAGCUCACUGGUCGAGUCGGCCUGCGCGGAAGAUGUAACGGGGCUAAACCAUGCACCGAAGCUGCGGCAGCGACACUAUGUGUUGUUGGGUAGGGGAGCGUUCUGUAAGCCUGUGAAGGUGUACUGUGAGGUAUGCUGGAGGUAUCAGAAGUGCGAAUGCUGACAUAAGUAACGAUAAAGCGGGUGAAAAGCCCGCUCGCCGGAAGACCAAGGGUUCCUGUCCAACGUUAAUCGGGGCAGGGUGAGUCGACCCCUAAGGCGAGGCCGAAAGGCGUAGUCGAUGGGAAACAGGUUAAUAUUCCUGUACUUGGUGUUACUGCGAAGGGGGGACGGAGAAGGCUAUGUUGGCCGGGCGACGGUUGUCCCGGUUUAAGCGUGUAGGCUGGUUUUCCAGGCAAAUCCGGAAAAUCAAGGCUGAGGCGUGAUGACGAGGCACUACGGUGCUGAAGCAACAAAUGCCCUGCUUCCAGGAAAAGCCUCUAAGCAUCAGGUAACAUCAAAUCGUACCCCAAACCGACACAGGUGGUCAGGUAGAGAAUACCAAGGCGCUUGAGAGAACUCGGGUGAAGGAACUAGGCAAAAUGGUGCCGUAACUUCGGGAGAAGGCACGCUGAUAUGUAGGUGAAGUCCCUCGCGGAUGGAGCUGAAAUCAGUCGAAGAUACCAGCUGGCUGCAACUGUUUAUUAAAAACACAGCACUGUGCAAACACGAAAGUGGACGUAUACGGUGUGACGCCUGCCCGGUGCCGGAAGGUUAAUUGAUGGGGUCAGCGCAAGCGAAGCUCUUGAUCGAAGCCCCGGUAAACGGCGGCCGUAACUAUAACGGUCCUAAGGUAGCGAAAUUCCUUGUCGGGUAAGUUCCGACCUGCACGAAUGGCGUAAUGAUGGCCAGGCUGUCUCCACCCGAGACUCAGUGAAAUUGAACUCGCUGUGAAGAUGCAGUGUACCCGCGGCAAGACGGAAAGACCCCGUGAACCUUUACUAUAGCUUGACACUGAACAUUGAGCCUUGAUGUGUAGGAUAGGUGGGAGGCUUUGAAGUGUGGACGCCAGUCUGCAUGGAGCCGACCUUGAAAUACCACCCUUUAAUGUUUGAUGUUCUAACGUUGACCCGUGAUCCGGGUUGCGGACAGUGUCUGGUGGGUAGUUUGACUGGGGCGGUCUCCUCCUAAAGAGUAACGGAGGAGCACGAAGGUUGGCUAAUCCUGGUCGGACAUCAGGAGGUUAGUGCAAUGGCAUAAGCCAGCUUGACUGCGAGCGUGACGGCGCGAGCAGGUGCGAAAGCAGGUCAUAGUGAUCCGGUGGUUCUGAAUGGAAGGGCCAUCGCUCAACGGAUAAAAGGUACUCCGGGGAUAACAGGCUGAUACCGCCCAAGAGUUCAUAUCGACGGCGGUGUUUGGCACCUCGAUGUCGGCUCAUCACAUCCUGGGGCUGAAGUAGGUCCCAAGGGUAUGGCUGUUCGCCAUUUAAAGUGGUACGCGAGCUGGGUUUAGAACGUCGUGAGACAGUUCGGUCCCUAUCUGCCGUGGGCGCUGGAGAACUGAGGGGGGCUGCUCCUAGUACGAGAGGACCGGAGUGGACGCAUCACUGGUGUUCGGGUUGUCAUGCCAAUGGCACUGCCCGGUAGCUAAAUGCGGAAGAGAUAAGUGCUGAAAGCAUCUAAGCACGAAACUUGCCCCGAGAUGAGUUCUCCCUGACCCUUUAAGGGUCCUGAAGGAACGUUGAAGACGACGACGUUGAUAGGCCGGGUGUGUAAGCGCAGCGAUGCGUUGAGCUAACCGGUACUAAUGAACCGUGAGGCUUAACCU